rnacentral:rRNA from 1 species
CAACCUACCUAUCAGAGGGGAAUAACCCGGCGAAAGUCGGACUAAUACCGCAUAAAACAGGGGCACCGCAUGGUGAUAUUUGUUAAAGAAAUUCGCUGAUAGAUGGGCAUGCGUUCCAUUAGGUAGUUGGUGAGGUAACGGCUCACCAAGCCGACGAUGGAUAGGGGAACUGAGAGGUUGGUCCCCCACACUGGUACUGAGACACGGACCAGACUCCUACGGGAGGCAGCAGUGAGGAAUAUUGGUCAAUGGGCGGGAGCCUGAACCAGCCAAGUCGCGUGAAGGAAGAAGGAUCUAUGGUUCGUAAACUUCUUUUGCAGGGGAAUAAAGUGCAGGACGUGUCCUGUUUUGUAUGUACCCUGAGAAUAAGGAUCGGCUAACUCCGUGCCAGCAGCCGCGGUAAUACGGAGGAUCCGAGCGUUAUCCGGAUUUAUUGGGUUUAAAGGGUGCGUAGGUGGUUUAAUAAGUCAGCGGUGAAAGUUUGCAGCUUAACUGUAAAAAUGCCGUUGAAACUGUUAGACUUGAGUGUAAAUGAGGUAGGCGGAAUGCGUGGUGUAGCGGUGAAAUGCUUAGAUAUCACGAAGAACUCCGAUU